rnacentral:rRNA from 1 species
UCAACUUAUUUAGUAAGUGAAAAUCCUUACUUUUAAAUAACAGACGAGAAGACCCUAGAAAUUUUUACUAUAUAUAACCAAUGUUUUUGUUGGGGCGACAAAAUAACAUGAAACUUAUUUACUUUUAUUUGGAAUUUAUAUAAAGAUUAAAUAAAUUACUCUAGGGAUAACAGCAUAAUAUUAAAAAGUUUGUGACCUCGAUGUUGGACUAGGAAAAGCAAGCCUAGAAGGCUGAUUUUACCGUUCUGUUCGAACGUAAACUCCUACGUGA